AGCGAACGCUGGCGGCAGGCCUAACACAUGCAAGUCGAACGGAUCCUUCGGGAUUAGUGGCGGACGGGUGAGUAACACGUGGGAACGUGCCCUUUGGUUCGGAACAACUCAGGGAAACUUGAGCUAAUACCGGAUGUGCCCUUCGGGGGAAAGAUUUAUCGCCAUUGGAGCGGCCCGCGUCUGAUUAGCUAGUUGGUGAGGUAACGGCCCACCAAGGCGACGAUCAGUAGCUGGUCUGAGAGGAUGAUCAGCCACACUGGGACUGAGACACGGCCCAGACUCCUGCGGGCGGCGGCCGUGGGGACUCUUGCGCCCUGGGCGAAAGCCUGACGCAGCCAUGCCGCGUGAAUGAUGAAGGUCUUAGGAUUGUAAAAUUCUUUCAGCGGGGACGAUAAUGACGGUCCCCGCCGAAGAAGCUCCGGCUACCUUCGUG
rnacentral:rRNA from 1 species